UCGUCCUACUACUGUGUUAUACCUAUCUGCCUAGUGAUGUUUAAAUUAUCUACGCUUAUUAUACAAAUAUACAAGCACUUACCUUAACCGCUACAUAUUUUUGUUGUACAUUCAACCAUGGCAAUUGACAAUAAAUGAAUCGCGUAUAUCUAACAGGUAGUGUAUAUUAUAAUUAUUACUAAAACAGCAAUACGUCAAAACAUAAAUAUAAUCUUGUUAACUAAAACAAUUUAGGACAGUGGAACUGCGUGAAACGGUGAACAUUACAAGAAUCAGCGAGCAAUAUAGUUUAAGAAUACCAAUUGCAGGAAAUUUUUUUAAAUCUCAAUACAAAAUAUGUGGAUUUUGUUUAUAAAAGACUGAGUGUCAUACCCAACGGAUGUGGAGGUGGAAAUGGGUAAUGAACUCACGCCCACAGAAGCACAAGAACAACCAAAAUUAAAAUGGGUGGUUAAAGAAAAAACUUAUUACACAGUCAUAAUGCACAGAUGUCUCAAGCAAAUCAGAAAUUAUUACCAACCAAUUUACACAUUGGUUGGUAAUGAACAUAAUAUAUGAAGAUAAUAUAGAAUCGGGAGACACAAUCUGUGAUUACAUUGGGUCUUGUCCACCCCACGGGUCAGGUUUUCACAGAUACAUGUUCCUGGUGUACCAAGUACCAACAACCUGCAGGGACAUUGGUAAAAGUUAUUUUUAUAGGUCAUAUUUAGGUAUGACAUGCCAUUGGAUUGAUCCAAAAACUCUUGAGAGAGGAUCUUGUUUGUUGGCCAUUAAAUGAAUGCAGGGUAGUCAUACGUAUGAUGUAUUAGCCAAAGCAAUGGAAACUGUAUAUUAUUUAGAGUUUAAUAUCAGUGACAAAGUGAUAUAUACAACUACUGAUAAUGGUUCAAAUGUUGUCAAAAGUUUCAAAAUGUUUGGCCAGUCAUCGGAGAAUCAACCUAUUUAUAACCCAAAAGAAAAAGAAUUUAUUAAUACAUUGAUAGAAAAAAAUGAAGAUGAGAAAAAUGACAAUGUUGAUAUUGAAGAGGAAGGCAUUGACUUUUCUAAAAUACCAAUUUAUGAAGUUUUGAAUAAAGAUUGGGAAGAUAAUAUGCUUUAUAAUUCGCCCAAACACCACCGUUGCGCUUCACACACUCUAAAUUUAAUUGCAACAUCAGUAAGCAACAUUAAAAUAUAUUUUAUUGGAUAAUAAUUAUUUUUACUUUUAAAGCUUUUUAAGUAAAAUAAAUAACUGAUGUACAUAAGGUAGGCAAUAUUGAUUUUUCAAAACAAACAUCUGUUAAUACUUAGUAUAAAGAAUACUUGAUUUAUUUGUAUUUUUUUUGGAUUGUUGGUCGACUUAUUAUUUUAAUUAACUGUUGCGGUUUCAAGACAUUGAAAAAGCUUUAAGAUGCUAUAGCAAUACAAAUGUAACCAACAAAUUUUCACUGGCAGCCUAUAAAAAACAAAGUAGACCAACGUUUUCAAAAUGUCAAGCUAUUUGGAACAAGCAGAACCAUUCCAGUCAAAUGGCUGACAUAAUUAAAACAAAUUCGGAUGUUUAUUUAAAAACUCCAAAUGACACUCGUUGGAAUUCUUGGUUUGAUUCUACUAAAUUCCUUAUUACUCAUUUUAAAAUAAGUCCUUCUAUAUUUUAUAAAGUAUAUGACAGCCUUACAGUUAAUCGUUUUUCAAAAGCGGACAUAGAUUUUUCAGAUGUGUAUAUUUUAUUGGUAAUGGAACCACUAUGCGUGUGUCUUGAUAUAUUGCAAAGGGAUAUGUAAAGGGAUGUAUUUUUGUUUUUUAUUGCCAUCCAUCUCAUCACUUAUACAAAAAUAUAACCAUAUUUCUUAAAAAUAAAUUAAUGUUUUAUGAUUUUUUAGUUAUUUUGCUUAAAAAUAGUGUCAAAAAACGUUUUGAACAAUUUUUGAUUGAUACAUUUUUAUUAUCUGCUGCACUUUCUCAUCCUUAUUUUAAACAAUCGGGUUUGGGAAUGUUUGAACGACAAAAUAUCUCAGAAUCUGAAUUAUCAGAGUGAUGAUGAUACAAAUAAUUUUUCGAUUGGUCCAAAAACAAAUCAAAAUCAACUUUUCUUUUAGAACAGGAAUUAUCCAAUGUUUUAACCAUAAAUUAUAUUCCUUGAUUGAAACACCAACAAUUCGAAAAGUGUUUACAAAGUUCAAUACACCACUGCCAAGUGGUGCUGCUGUAGAAUGUGUCUUUAUUAUUGGCAGUGCUGUGUUGACUAAAAAAAGGGUAGAAAUGAGUGAUAAAAACUUUGAGAACAUAUUAAUGUUAAAAUGUAACAAACAUAUAUAAUAUGUAAUUAUUAUUUAUAUGACAUAUUUAUCUGAAAAUAUAUAUAUUGGCAGAAAAAUUACCUAAUAGUUUUUAUGGAAAUAAGUUAUAACUUGUUGACCGUAGGAAUGAAAAAAUGUUCGUAGUGACACAGAUUCGAAUUGUAGAUUUUUCAAACAUUAAUUUACAUGGCAACAAUAUAUUAUAUGGGUGCGAUCAUUAUUUAUAAAAUUUUCUUUUUUUGUUAUACUGAUUAUUAAUCAGUAUUCUUAAUCAGUGAUUAAGAAUACAAAACUAAAAGUUUUUUUAUUCUUUAAAGAAAAUCUAUAAUUUGUAAAUUCGGGAAACAAUACUAGAAUUACGUAUGCCCAAAGAAAAUUAGAAUAUACAAAUUCUAAUUAUUUUUGCUGUUUUGAAGGGUUAUGUGGAGUUGCGGUGCACUAUGAGUCGUGAGAUAUUUUCAUAAAAACCCGGUCGAAAUAUUAUAAUAUAAAGAUAAACCAAAAUUUGAAUUUUUUUUUCUUUGUGAAAUAGAAACGAUAAAAUCAAAUCAUACACACACACAUGGGCUACGCAUAUCUAUGAAUGCUUAAUAUAAACUGUACCUACAGUAUUUAUAAUGAUGCUUAGUUGAACAAAUCCUUUAAUAAUACCUAUGUUAUACGGCGGUUGAUUGUUACAACUGAUGCGCAAUAUUAGUCAUAAUUUAUAGUCAUAUUAUAUAAUCAUUAUUCAUAAUCCAUUUCUGAAAAUGUCCUGAAUUAAGAAGCAGAGUUUGAAUCUUCGUUCCAGGCUAUUUAGUUCUUACAGUCCUUCUGGAUCUAACAGCAGGUAAGUCUUCAUAACGAUUGACAAUCUAUUUAAUAGAAGUUUACAUAGGCGUGUCGACAGGUCAUGGCAGCUGUUAUGCACAGGCAUGACCUGCGAAAUUUGAUCCAAUUUAGGUAUAUUAUAAAUUGCGGUGCAUAAUAUAAACAUUUCUAUCUAAGUUUCUGAUUUUGUACUAAGCUAUUGGUUUUAUACAGUAUAUAAUAGUAUAGUUAUACUCUCCGGUGGUAUGGAAACUGCUAUCUGUGCUAUACGUGUGAAUACUCCAGUGAGUUAUAAAUCAUAGUCAGCAGAUGGCGUGGCCAGUUUGCUUACGCUCUUUUCACAAUAAUAAUAUUAUAUCGAUGCGAUGUUCCAGUAUUACGAUCAUAAUAAUAAUAUUAUAAGACAGUAUUGAUACAGACCUGUUAAAACGGUAUUCCUUAAUUUAUGGAUAUAAUACCUAAUUAAUGGCUUAUACAUACACAAAAAAGUGCCUUUUUUCUCAUUUUUAUUUUACAAUAAUAAAACAUCAAUAAUAAUUUAUACUAUCGUUCAAUUAGAACACAUCGACGGAAUAAUAUUAUAUUAUUUAACGAUCGAAUUGUUUGGUUAUAAAUUAAUAUCACAGGUGGCUUAUCGUUGAAAUGUCGGGGGUGAUGUGCAAAAUGUUUUUUCGGGACCUAUUUAGUGGGUGUUAGGUGUUACUUUAGGGUCAGUCCGAAGCUGUCCGAUUUUAAGACUAUACCUAUUGAUGAAUCUGAUAGUUAGAUGAAUACAUUAUAAGUACCUACGAAUCCGAUAAUUAGUUUUUGCAAAAGGCCCCGAAGCCCCCGAACCGCAUUCAGGCUGGACUUCAAUAACUAUAGAGUAUAUUAUACCAGUGGUCACCAAUCAAUAUUUUUAAGGACCGCGUUAGGAAUAUGGAAAUUGUUUGAAGGCGAAAAAAAUUGUCUGAUGUCGGUAAAAUCCGAUGAAUAAAAAUGAUAAACACUGUAAGGUAUAAUAUUAUCAGUUUUAUUUUUUUAUUUAUCUGCAGUUUUCGCUGUAAUUAUUAUCUCUACAACACAAAUUUAUAUAAUAUGUAUGCACAUGUAAUAUAAGUGAAAACAAUUGAUCGGUGACUCAUCUGCGUAGAAUAAUAUGUUCAGAUAUACGUAUAAUUACGAUGAAAUAUACCAUCACCAGUAACAAAUUUAACUGUUGUUCGUCGCACCUUCCUCGGUGUAUAUACAUUUUACUCUAUGCGUGGUAUGUAUGGUAUGCGAUUUGUGUACAUAUAGGUACAUUACCAUGAUUGUGGGCUUAAAAUAUGAGAGUUAAGUAUUGAAUUCUAUAAUAAUAUAGAAAUACUUGUACAACCAAAAAUGUAUAUAAUUGGUAUCAUAUAUAUUCCAUCACCAGCUGUAGAAAUUAUUACAUUGAUCAAUUGUAGAUAUCUAAAUCAAAUAAAACUCGUUGUGUUAACAGUAUAUAAUAACAAAAUUGUCUUAAUAAGGUCAUACGUUUUUGUAUAAAAUAUAUUUCAUAAACUAUCGUCAAUAAGAUAGAAUAUUAACUUAUGAUAUCCAAGAAAAGUCUCAUACUUAGAAAAGUCCCAUACUAUUAAAAGGCUACAACAAUAUUAAUGUAAAACUAUGUACAACAGCCUGUGUCGACAAAAUAAUAGUCUAUUAAGUUACUAUUAUUAUUACCAACGUCAUUAGAAUUUUUUUUAUGUACUACAGUAAUAAUUACUUUAAUACCUAUUGCUUUGAUUUUCUGUAGUAGGUAACCUACCUUUGAAUAUUAUCAAAAUAACGGUAAAUAUUGUAUAGAAUAAUUAAUAUAUCUUAUAAGCCCUAAAAUAUUUUUAGUAAAGCCUACGAGGAACAACAAUUAUUACAAUGCAUAAUUUAUUUCUUUUAACGAAAAGUCUUGAGGGGUCCCUCGCUACUUACGGCUAUUAUUUAAGGGGUAACAUUUAGGCAAUUUCUAAUUUAAUUUUAGCCGCCCGGGAUCUAUUUGUUAGUUUUAAAUGAUUAUUAGUGUGAGUGAAAUUCAUUACAGGUACCACUCUUUUUCGCGCACGGACAUGUCAAUAACUCUAUAACAGUAUAAAAUUAUCUACAUAUACACAUUUUACGACAACUUAUUAUUGUUUUGACAAAUUUGAAGUUAGUUAACGAUUUUGAUUCUGCAACAAAUAUUUGAAUUGAUUUGGCUGGAUAGUUAUAUAAAUAUGUUAUAACAAUGUUUGAAAAAAAUUCAAAGCAGAAAAUUACUAAUUAGUUACUAUAAUAUAGUACGGUAUUUUGCCAUAAUAGUAAAAAGACAAUAAAGACAAUUUGGUUUAUUCGAUUUUAAGUAGGUAUGAAUAAUCCUUAGAAUUUUUUUAGAGCACCAUAUUGUGACUCAUCGUUAUUCAAUUUACAAUAACAACACACCGUUAACACGCCCGUCCAUAGGUGACCUAUUCAAAGCUGCAGCGUGGCCUACUCCUCAAAUAGCCGGCUUUUAUUUACGGACGAUUCCUUCAUAAUAUAAUACAUACGUAUUAUAAUGUUGAUAACUAUUGAGAACGAAAUAUUAUGUACAAGUACGAUACCGUCAGUGUUUGGUAAGUAACAAAUUGGACGUAUUACAAUAAUAAUAUUAUGACCGUCGUGUAUUAAAUAUAUCUUUUCAAUUAGGCAUACUUAGGUGACCUUUUCAAAGCUGCAGUGACCUGCUAGCUGCUCCUCUAAUAGUCAAUUUUAUUCACGAACCAUUUAUUCAUAACAUUCAUGUAGAACGAUGUUGAUAAUAGGUAUUAUAUUAAGUACAAAAUAUUGUGUUCAUUACAAUGUUAUUUCCGUCGGUGUUUUAUAAGUAACAAAUUUGACGUAUUAUAAUAUAUGACCAUCGUAUAUCUUUUCCUUUACACGAUUUCCCGUAAGAUAAUCUUCUUAUCCACUGAUCAGUGGCGUAGCUGUAUUAUGGGAAAGGGCCCGGGGCAGUUAAAUAAACUAGGCCCCUGACUAAUAUUGUCUUUAUGGAAAUUCAAAAUAUACAUUUACGCAAUAUUGAGGGGCUUCCUGAGUUAUGCCCCUCCUCUGUGAGCUCUGGGGUCUCAGGGCAUCGCACAACUUUGCACUAUGAUAUCUACACUACUGAUAUACGCGUAUCAUAUCACCGUGUUCGUCGUUCUUGAAUUUUUGGGGGAAAGACCCGUAAAACGACACACAGGUGAAAAAUUGUGGGAAUAAAUUAAUCCCACUCACUAUUUUUCAAUGUAAAUGCGAAUGAAAAAAUAAAUUUUUAAAUUGAUGAAUUGAUAUUCACAGCAUUAUUAAUAAUAAUUUCAA
rnacentral:lncRNA from 1 species